GAUGAAGAACGCAGCGAAAUGCGAUAAGUAAUGUGAAUUGCAGAAUUCAGUGAAUCAUCGAAUCUUUGAACGCACAUUGCGCCCUCUGGUAUUCCGGGGGGCAUGCCUGUUCGAGCGUCAUUACAACCCUCAAGCUUUGCUUGGUAUUGGACAUUGCCAGUUUCUGGCAGGUCUUAAAAUCAGUGGCGGUGCCAUUUGGCUUCAAGCGUAGUAAUUCUUCUCGCUUUGGAGAUCCAGGUGGUUACUUGCCAAUAACCCCCAAUUUUUUCAGGUUGACCUCGGAUCAGGUAGGGAUACCCGCUGAACUUAAGCAUAUCAUAAGCGGAGGA
rnacentral:misc_RNA from 1 species